AGAGCAAAGAAAGUACAAAGAUGAACACAGGCCUCCGAUUCUUGAUUUGGAGACAAGACUUUUAGUGCAACCUUUAAUUUGAGUGAGCGCUAAGCAUCAGAAGCCUCGAUGCCUCAAGAAAAUGUGAAACGCAUCAGGACUCCCAUGCGCUGAGAACGACUUUGAAGGUCAGGGGCCUUUCAGAGCUCUGGGGUCCCUGAACGCGCUUGGGUACUCCCUGCGCUCAACAGGGUAACGGGAGCUACGGGCUGGGGCGAAGGACGCAAGCGCCCCGGGUUCUGGAGUUCCCUAAGCGCUCCUGCCGCCUCCGGAAAGCAGGGGCAGUUUGCCGAAGUGACUGAGUAAUAACAGUUAAGAUACACCC